UACGUAGGGACCAAGCGUUGUCCGGAAUCAUUGGGCGUAAAGCGCGCGUAGGUGGCCAUUUAAGUCCGCUGUGAAAGUCAGAGGCUCAACCUUUGAAAGCCGGUGGAUACUGGAAUGGCUAGAGUACGGAAGAGGCGAGUGGAAUUCCUGGUGUAGCGGUGGAAUGCGCAGAUAUCAGGAGGAACACCAAUAGCGAAGGCAGCUCGCUGGGACGUUACUGACACUAAGGCGCGAAAGCGUGGGGAGCGAACAGG
rnacentral:rRNA from 1 species